rnacentral:rRNA from 1 species
CCUACGGGGGGCAGCAGUGGGGAAUAUUGGACAAUGGGGGGAACCCUGAUCCAGCCAUGCCGCGUGGGUGAAGAAGGCCCUCGGGUUGUAAAGCACUUUCAGUGAGGAAGAACGCCUGGUGGUUAAUACCCAUCAGGAAAGACAUCACUCACAGAAGAAGCACCGGCUAACUCCGUGCCAGCAGCCGCGGUAAUACGGAGGGUGCGAGCGUUAAUCGGAAUUACUGGGCGUAAAGCGCGCGUAGGUGGCUUGAUAAGCCGGUUGUGAAAGCCCCGGGCUCAACCUGGGAACGGCAUCCGGAACUGUCAAGCUAGAGUGCAGGAGAGGAAGGUAGAAUUCCCGGUGUAGCGGUGAAAUGCGUAGAGAUCGGGAGGAAUACCAGUGGCGAAGGCGGCCUUCUGGACUGACACUGACACUGAGGUGCGAAAGCGUGGGUAGCAAACAGGAUUAGAUACCCCAGUAGUC